AGACAAAAAAAAAAUUAAUUACAAUUUCGGGUUCGGCAUCGAUAUAAUAACAACCCCUUCUACUUUUUUUUAAUAUAUUUCCAUUGUACAGACACCACUUUUCUACAAUUUUAUAAUAUGUAUUCGUACGAUGCUUGUGGACGCGAAUUGACGCCCAGUGGCGCAUGAAUUCGCGCGAAACAAUUCGCGGCGAGUUCGCAUCUUCUGGACAACAUCACUAGGCACGCAAGUUUCGAUUUUAUAAAGUUAGAGUUGAGAUGACUUAUCGCCCCUUGUUUCAAAGUCGCCUGUAGUCUGUACCAGUGAUUUUUAGUGCACAAUAAUUCCUUGCUAGAGACGCUGUGCGCUAGUUAGUAUUAUGAAACUCGACAGCAAAUUGCGAAUUUUGUCUUCUAAACUAUGAUAUAAAGCGAUCUCUUGUAUAUUACGUAUUUUUUGAUGAGUGAAGUUGCCUUUGCCAUAGGCUCCGGCUUCACGUUCUGUCUUACCUGAGAGCUUACCUGCACAAGCCAGUUUGCACAGUUAAGUGUAUGCGUGUAGUCGGCGAGACCGUAUUCCGCGCAGUUGGAAAAUCUGCUAAAGAUUGGACAGCGCAGUUCUCGGUCAAGACGGAGUGUUAGAUUAAGAAAUAUAUGCAGCUUUGGCUUGUAAUAUAACUGUCAGUGUCGUAUAUGCUGACAGCUUAUUUGCACAAGCCAGUUUGAACAGUAAAACGGUUUUUGUUUGGAAUAACCGUUCUAACUUCAGGGUACUAAUGAUUUUACUAUGCAUUGUAAAUAACUACAAAGUUUACCAAGUGCGUUUCUAUCGUGAGCGAUAGCAAUUUGCAAUAAGAUUGCAAUUUAUGUGUGAAAGUGCCAAAUAGACUUUAUUUAGAACAUUUUGUUAAUAAAAUAUUCUAUU